AAAUCUAGCCCGACAGGCAGGACGGAGGUGCCAGAGAGUGAGUGAACCCUGAGACCAGACUGGGGGAUAAGCUGCACCUGCUUCGGAGCUGAACGGGAGCCCUGCUUCUGAAAUCUCGAGCGUGGAGCUGUGUGUAUGGAGAGGGCAAAGGGCAGAGUGUGCCCAUAGCAGUGAUGGAGGCCCAGGCCCAGGCCCUGCACUUCCAAAGGCUUUCUCCACAUCAGGUCUGAGUGUCCUGUCUGCAGCUGGGCCUGGCUUGACCAGCAAUGCAGAGAAGAAGGCAGAGCAGGGUCCUGCCAACCCCGCUGGGAUCUGCUGGGCCUUGGGGGAGGUGUGGCUUGGGGAGUGCUACAGUGUCCUGAGCGCGGGGUCUGAGUUGGGCCAGGCCAUGGCUGGGUCUUCGAAGCCUGUCAAGGUCAGCUCUGUGGUGCCCAAUGUCUGAAUGUGAGCCCCACAUUGCUCACUGCAGCCCAGCUGCCUCCUGUAAACUUCAAGUCCAGCACCUACCCCUCCCUGCCCCGCCCCGCCCCCCACUCCACUGAGAGCUGGUGCUGUCUGGCUGGAAACGGAACUCCAGCCCCUAUCUGACUUUCCUGGGAGGCCUUGGAGAACUGAUGCCUCCCACCACUGACGUCAGCCCUGGAGGCAGAGAGAGUCCAUUCCGAGAGGUGCCCCAUGCCCUCCCAGCCCAUUCCCUGUAACAGAAAUGGGGACCUAACUGGGUAUGGGGCACCCCUCAGGUUGGAAGCAAAUGGCCCCGAAAGCCACCACACACUAGGCCUCUCCCUGCAGUCAGGACAGGAUCCUGCCCCAGUGUCAGCUCAGCCUGCAGCGCCAGGAGGACCCAGGGCUGUUCCGAGGAGAAGGGAAUCCAUCCGGGGAAGCUCCCAAACUGCCUUUCGAAGGCCUCCCUGAGUGCUUCCUUCUCCCUCUUUCCAAAAUGGAAGCAUUGGUGCAUGAUGACCAACCCUCCUGGUGACAGUUCAGAGAAAAAUAAGAUCCCAAGCCCCAAAGGAUGGCAACUCCCCAGCAGGGCUCUGUCACCCGUGCCGGGCAGUGCCAGGCAUGCUGCACCUGCUUUAGAGAAGGGCCGGCUGCCUGUUCACCCCCAGAACCCAGGAGUCCGGUUGCCUCGGGGAUGGAUUCCCCAGCCCUCUCCCGUCUCUGAGGCUCCAGGGCCCCAGCUCCUCUUUCCAGCCGCAGACACACCUGCGAAGUGUGAGGCAGCCAGGACCUCGUGCCUGCUGCGGAGAGACGCCACUCCUGCCUGGGAGCACCUAGCAGUGAGUCCAGUCCUUGGAAGGGCGACGGGGCCACCCCCGG
rnacentral:lncRNA from 13 species